GCAAACUUGGUCAUUUAGAGGAAGUAAAAGUCGUAACAAGGUUUCCGUAGGUGAACCUGCGGAAGGAUCAUUACCAAUCUUUAGCGGGCCUUGGCUUGUCCAUGGUCUCGCAAAACUCUGUAUUUAAAACCCGCUCUUUUAAAUUUAAAUAUUAUAUGUUAUCAUAUUAUAAUUAAGAUCACUUUCAACAACGGAUCUCUUGGCUCUCUUAGAGGAAGUAAAAGUCGUAACAAGGUUUCCGUAGGUGAACCUGCGGAAGGAUCAUUACCAAUCUUUAGCGGGCCUUGGCUUGUCCAUGGUCUCGCAAAACUCUGUAUUUAAAACCCGCUCUUUUAAAUUUAAAUAUUAUAUGUUAUCAUAUUAUAAUUAAGAUCACUUUCAACAACGGAUCUCUUGGCUCUCGCAUCGAUGAAGAACGCAGC
rnacentral:misc_RNA from 1 species